rnacentral:rRNA from 1 species
GGGCCCGCACAAGCGGUGGAGCAUGUGGUUUAAUUCGAUGCAACGCGAAGAACCUUACCUACUCUUGACAUCCAGAGAAGCCAGCGGAGACGCAGGUGUGCCUUCGGGAGCUCUGAGACAGGUGCUGCAUGGCUGUCGUCAGCUCGUGUUGUGAAAUGUUGGGUUAAGUCCCGCAACGAGCGCAACCCUCACUUUUAGUUGCCAUCAUUUAGUUGGGCACUCUGAAAGAACUGCCAGUGAUAAGCUGGAGGAAGGUGGGGAUGACGUCAAGUCCUCAUGGCCCUUACGUGUUGGGCUACACACGUGCUACAAUGGUAUCUACAACAGGAAGCAAGACGGCGACGUCAAGCAAAUCCUUAAAAGAUACCUCAGUUCGGAUUGCACUCUGCAACUCGAGUGCAUGAAGCUGGAAUUACUAGUAAUCG